GAGUUUGAUCAUGGUUCAGGACGAACGCUGGCGGCGUGCCUAAUACAUGCAAGUCGAACGAGGCUUUUUGAUUGAUGCUUGCAUCAGCUAAAAAGCCGAGUGGCGAAUGGGUGAGUAACACGUGGGUAACCUGCCUUGAAGCGGGGGAUAACAUUUGGAAACAGAUGCUAAUACCGCAUAACCACAAAAACCUCCUGGUUUUUGUGUCAAAGAUGGUUCUGCUAUCACUUCAAGAUGGACCCGCGGCGUAUUAGCUUGUUGGUGAGGUAACGGCUCACCAAGGCAAUGAUACGUAGCCGAACUGAGAGGUUGAUCGGCCACAUUGGGACUGAGACACGGCCCAAACUCCUACGGGAGGCAGCAGUAGGGAAUCUUCCACAAUGGACGCAAGUCUGAUGGAGCAACGCCGCGUGAGUGAAGAAGGUCUUCGGAUCGUAAAACUCUGUUGUCAGAGAAGAACGUGCGUGAGAGCAACUGUUCAUGCAGUGACGGUAUCUGACCAGAAAGUCACGGCUAACUACGUGCCAGCAGCCGCGGUAAUACGUAGGUGGCAAGCGUUGUCCGGAUUUAUUGGGCGUAAAGGGAACGCAGGCGGUCUUUUAAGUCUGAUGUGAAAGCCUUCGGCUUAACCGAAGUCGUGCAUUGGAAACUGGGGGACU
rnacentral:rRNA from 1 species